AUACGGAGGGUGCAAGCGUUGUUCGGAAUUACUGGGCGUAAAGCGCGUGCAGGCGGUAAGGUAAGUCAGAUGUGAAAGCCCCGGGCUCAACCCGGGAAGUGCAUUUGAUACUGCCUUUCUUGAGUAUGGGAGAGGAGAGUGGAAUUCCCAGUGUAGAGGUGAAAUUCGUAGAUAUUGGGAGGAACACCCGUGGCGAAGGCGACUCUCUGGACCAAUACUGACGCUGAGACGCGAAAGUGUGGGGAGCGAACAGGAUUAGAAACCCCAGUAGUCC
rnacentral:rRNA from 1 species